CACAGAACCAGUUGUUAAAAAAUUUGAAUCCCACCCCUGAUAUUAAGCAUAUGUUUACUCAGGUGGGGGGAGAAGGUAUUGAUCUGAGUAGUUUAAUAGGUUCAAUUUUUAGAUGACCCAAUUUUUCAAAAAGGAAAGAUGCAGUGAUUAAAUUGAAUAUGGA